rnacentral:rRNA from 1 species
UGGUUUUAUAUGAGGGCAUCCACCCGCGUUUUAAGAUUUCCUCGUUAAGGGAUGGGGAUGCGUCCGAUUAACUUUUUUAGCGGGGUAGCACCCCCAAAGCUACGAUCCAUAAGGGGUUGCUGAGAGAAGGUCCCCCCACAUUGGAAUUGAGACACGGCCAAUCCCUACGAGAGGCAGCAGUGAGGAAUAUUUUAAAAUGGGGAGAGAGCCUGAACCCACCAAGUAGCGUGCAGGAAGACGGCCCCUAUGGGGUUGAAAAACCGCUUUUUAUGCGGGGAUAAAGAGAGGGGACGUGUCCCCUCAUUGCAGGUAACGCAAGAAUAAGGCCCGGGGCAAAUUCCCGUCCCAGCAGCCGCGGUAAUACGGAAAGGUCCUGGCUUUAUCCGGAUUUAUUGGGUAUAAAGAGAGCAUAGCCCCGUGGAUUAAAGCGUGUUGUGAAACGCAGGUGCUAAACGUCCGCACUGCAGCGCGAACUUGUCCACUUGAGUGUGCGCAACGCAGGCGGAAUUCGUCGUGUAGCGGAGAAAUGCUUAUAUAUGACGAAGAACUCCGAUUGCGAAGGCAGCCUGCGGGAGCACAACUGACGCUGAAGCUCGAAAGUGCGGGUAUCGAACAGG